rnacentral:rRNA from 1 species
UCGUAAGGCUGGGCUGUGAUGGGGAGCGAAAAUUGUAGUAGCGAAGGUCAUGAUCUCAGACUGCCAAGAAAAGCCUCUAGCCAGGAGAAGGUGCCCGUACCGCAAACCGACACAGGUAGGCGAGAAGAGAAUUCUAAGGCGCGCGGAAGAACUCUCGUUAAGGAACUCGGCAAAAUGACCCCGUAACUUCGGGAGAAGGGGUGCCUCGGUAGGGUGAAUAGCCCGAGGGGGCCGCAGUGAAAAGGCCCAAGCGACUGUUUAGCAAAAACACAGGUCUGUGCGAAGCCGCAAGGCGAAGUAUACGGGCUGACGCCUGCCCGGUGCUGGAAGGUUAAGGGGAGUGGUAAGCCCUUCGGGGCGAAGCUAUGAACCGAAGCCCCAGUAAACGGCGGCCGUAACUAUAACGGUCCUAAGGUAGCGAAAUUCCUUGUCAGGUAAAUUCUGACCCGCACGAAUGGCGUAACGACUUGGGCGCUGUCUCAACGAGAGAUCCGGUGAAAUUUUAAUACCUGUGAAGAUGCAGGUUACCCGCGACAAGACGGAAAGACCCCAUGGAGCUUUACUGCAGCUUGAUAUUGAAUUUGGGUACGAUCUGUACAGGAUAGGUGGGAGCCGUCGAACUUUGAGCGCCAGCUUGAAGGGAGGCAUCCUUGGGAUACCACCCUGAUCGUAUCUAGGUUCUAACUUGGUACCGUGAUCCGGUACGAGGACAGUGUCAGGUGGGCAGUUUGACUGGGGCGGUCGCCUCCUAAAGAGUAACGGAGGCGCCCCAAGGUUCCCUCAGAAUGGUUGGAAAUCAUUCGAAGAGUGCAAAGGCAGAAGGGAGCUUGACUGCGAGACCUACAAGUCGAGCAGGGACGAAAGUCGGGCUUAGUGAUCCGGUGGUACCGCAUGGAAGGGCCAUCGCUCAACGGAUAAAAGCUACCCUGGGGAUAACAGGCUUAUCUCCCCCAAGAGUCCACAUCGACGGGGAGGUUUGGCACCUCGAUGUCGGCUCAUCGCAUCCUGGGGCUGAAGUAGGUCCCAAGGGUUGGGCUGUUCGCCCAUUAAAGCGGUACGCGAGCUGGGUUCAGAACGUCGUGAGACAGUUCGGUCCCUAUCUGUCGUGGGCGUAGGAAAUUUGAGAGGAGCUGUCCUUAGUACGAGAGGACCGGGAUGGACGUACCGCUGGUGUACCAGUUGUUCCGCCAGGAGCACCGCUGGGUAGCUAUGUACGGAAGGGAUAAGCGCUGAAAGCAUCUAAGCGUGAAGCCCCCCUCAAGAUGAGAUUUCCCAAUACGUAAGACCCCUUGAAGACGACGAGGUAGAUAGGUUGGGGGUGGAAGUGCAGUAAUGCAUGGAGCUGACCAAUACUAAUCGGUCGAGGGCUUAU